AUGGAAUUCCAGGGAGAGGAGGACGGGGACGGCAGCGACGUGGGCGACGGCGCCCCGCCCGCGGCACCUCACCGCAGCGCCACCGCAAACGGGCCGGCAGACAACAUGCAAGCGGAGGCGAGGCGGCAGUACCACGAGUGCCUCCGUAACCACGCGGCGGCCGCCGGCGGGCACGUCCUGGACGGAUGCUGCGAGUUCAUGCCGGCCUCCCCCGAGGACCCACUCGCAUGCGCUGCCUGCGGCUGCCACCGCAGCUUCCACCGCCGCGACCCCUCGCCGGGGCGCGCUCACUUGCCGCUGCUGGCUGCCAGCGCGCGCGCACCAUUGCUGCUCCCGCCGGCGGCGAGCAAGCACCCGCACCAGCGCUUGCCGUUCCCCUACGGCCUCGCGGCCAGCGGCGGCACCGGCACGACGACCGAGUCCUCCAGCGAGGAGCGUCGUGGGCCGUCGCCGGCACCGCGGAAGCGUUCCAGGACGACGUUCACGCGGGAGCAGAAGGAGCAGAUGCUGGAGUUCGCGGAGCGGGUCGGGUGGAGGCUGCAGCGGCAGGACGAGGCGAUGGUGGGGCAUUUCUGCGCGCAGGCCGGGGUCCGGAGGCAGGCGCUCAAGGUCUGGAUGCACAACAACAAGCAGAGUAGCAGCGGUAGGAGGCAGCAGCAGGAGAAGCAGCUUCAGGAGCAUAGACAAGAGCAGCAGUAG
rnacentral:rRNA from 1 species